CUGGCGGCUCCAGCCCGGCUCUCAGGGACCGGCUGUGCCAGCCUCCUCAGAGCGCAUGAGCUCGGCCUCGGGGUCGCACGCGGGUGCCUGUCCUGAGAGCGUGCGUGUGUCACUGUGAGGGAGGGGACCGACUGCGCCUCUCUGGCUGUUCUGCGUGUGUGCAGUGCUGUGGGUGCGAGAUGGCAUCUGACGGUGUCUGGGUUCCAGCAUCUGCCUGGCCUGACGGCUUCCUGCUUCAGCGGGAGUCACCGUGCUGAGCGACUCCACUUGGGCCACCUAUCCCAUCACGUAAGACAGUAUAUGCACCUUAAGAUCCUGAAGAAAAGGUGAAAUGUCCAAGUAAUGUUUAGAGAUAAUUUGUGAGGCCAAGUGAAAAGAAGAUGUGGCCAUCAGGACAUUGAGCACGGCGUUCU
rnacentral:lncRNA from 1 species